rnacentral:misc_RNA from 1 species
UGGAUGCUGGGAUGCUGUGACACA